UCCUCCCUCUUUCUUCCCCCUCCCCCAAUUGUUUUCCAUCUUCCAUUUUCCACCCUCACUCUUUCGCUCCCCUUUUCCACUCUCCAUUCCCUUACUCUUUCCUUCCCUCUUCACUCAACCUCACUACCAGCAAAGAGAAGAAGCUUCAUUGUGAAUGGACAAACACCAAUGAUUGUUGCAUUGUGAAUAGAUGGAUGUGAACGGACAGAUGCGACCCUCACUCCACAUAAUUUCGAUGACUCGAACAGGUCGAGGGGAACAAAGAGAAUCUUGCUGCUGCACACAAUUUGGACGAAAUCUUCCUGCUACACCCAUUUGGUCGAGCUACUACACAAGAUUUGCACGACGUGUUGUACACGAUUUGGACAGAACGCCGACGAGCGUGAAUAGAAUGCCACCAAAUAUAACAGAACUCCGGUGAACGCAAAUAGAACCUUGUUUGCAGAUAACCCAUUCAUUUUCAGCCGACAGCUGCCUGCCCCAAAUCCCCGCCGUUCGUGCUCGAAGACCGACCACCAAAGCCGCUACCCAGAUCUGCUCCAGCCUCAAUUGCACGAUCCCCGCCUCACCGCGCAGUGCCAUCGUCUCCGUCGAAGCACACCAUUGCUCUAGCUGUCCUCGUUAGGCUUGUCACGUCUGACCGGCAAUCUCUUCUUCAACCCAUCACAAUUCGAGCACUGGUGGAAUUUUUAAGGUAGAAGUGUGUUGUCAGGCAUUGCAAAGGAUUAAGUUAGGUUCGCAAACGACCUUAACUUCGAAAUUAAUUUUGGACCAAACAAUGUUUUGAUUGAGGCAUUUGUUUGAGAGGUCGAAGGCAGUUUUGGAACAAGCUAUACUUUGGGCUUGAUUCAAGAUUCAUCUAAGCGAGGAGAAGGAUUAAAUUGCUUGCCACUUAGGCGUAAUUUGAGGUAAGUAAUCUUACUACUGGAACUGCCCAUGGGCCAGGCAUUAGAUGUAUUCUAGCAUGAUAAAUGUAUGUUAUGACAAAAUGUUAGCAUGAUAGACUGAUAGUAUAAUAUGAUCAAAGUAUGUUCUGGUACGAGAUCUGAAUUAUUUAUUUACGCACAUAGACACUUGAAUGCUAGUAUGAGAUGGUAUGUGCUUCCGUAUGGUUGUAAUUGAUCUAAUAAUGUUGAGGUAUACAUGUAUGUUGUAAAGCCAUGAUGUUGAGGUUUAUAUGUAUGUCAUAAAUUCGUACAGUGAUGAUUAUGAUGUUGAGACUGUGCAAAUGUCCUUACUGAUUAGUUAGAUACCCAUUAGUUAGAUACCCAUUAGGACCUGAAUUGGUGCAUAUCACGAAUGAGGCAAUACAGAAGAUCAGGGCUUGUAUGCAAACAGCUUAGAGCAGACAGAAGAGCUAUGCCGAUGUAAGACGUAAGGACCUAGAAUUUGAGACUGGUGCGAAAGUGUUCUUAAAAGUGGCACCCAUGAAAGGUAUUCUGAGGUUUGGUAGGAAGAGAAAGUUGAGUCCGAGAUUCAUUGGACCUUUCGAGGUCUUGGAACGAGUUGGCCUCGUAGCUUACCGUUUGGCAUUGCCUUCAGCACUGUCUUCAGUUCAUAAUGUCUUCCAUGUUUCGAUGCUAAGGAAGUAUGUGACAGACCCAUCCCAUGUAGUUGACUACGAGCCCUUACAGUUGAAUUACAACUUGAGCUACAAGGAGAAGCCUAUAGAGAUCCUCACCAGAGAGGUAAAAACAUUACGCUGCUGGGAAAUUGCUUUUGUGAAAGUCCUGUGGCAGAAUCACCAGUUCAAGGAGGCUACCUGGGAGAGAGAGGAUGAGAUGAAGGCCUAGUACCCAGAGCUUUUUCAAGAAUGAACUUCCUAGGACGAAAGUUCUUUGAGGAGGGAAGAAUGU